CUUUGCUCCAAAAGCUGGCUGGGCUGUGUUAAGAAGUGGGAGCUCCUCAGACAGUGUGUGCGCUUUCCUUGGAGUCAGUUAAACUUCCACUCAGCUUUGCAGGGGUCACAAACCACCACGCAGUAGGUUCGACCUGGUCGUCCUAACUUGAAGCCUAGGCUUGCCUCAAGUCUAGCACCAUCUACAUGGGCUUGUCACUGUCUUCUUGAAGAACUGCCCCAUUACCCUGACAAGUCCUGUGUGUUUCUACAACCUGGAUGAGCUCCCUGCCCAGCACCUGCCUUGUCUGAUGGCCUUUAUGGGACAAGGAAGAAGGAACUAAGAGUCUCUCUGACAGAGAAGAGUCCCUCUUCUCGUGACUCCAGGAAACCCUGAAGCCUCCUCGGCUCCCACAGCUGGCUGGAGCAGGAGGCAGCUACGCUUGCAAAGCUGAGGUCCUGGCCUGCAGCCCCACCACCUCCUUUUGGAGUUUGCUCAGUGCACAUGCCUCUGAACUGACCCAGGAGAGCCGGGUAGCCGACGUGUCCCAAAAGGACGGCCGGCAGAGUCUCACUGAGUCACCAAGUUGCCCAGGUUGGGCACCAGCUUGUGGUCUUCCUGCCUCAGCCUCCGACAGCACUGCAGUGACAGGCGUGACCGUGCCAGGCUGAUGCUUGGUUCUUACCCCUGGGAGCUUCGGCGAAGACACUGGAGGCAGAAGUGACACCGCCCCAGGAAGCACGCGUGGUGUCCUGGAGCUGCUGGCUUGGUGACCACAGAAUGCCCAGCGCAUGUGCUGCAGGGCUGAGCUUCUCUCCGUCGCAGAGGCCUGCAUUUUAGUGUAAGAACAAUGUCAGUGCUGCUCUGAUACAGGCUUGGCGCAGGAGAGAUGGAAACUUGUUGAAGUGGAAUGAUUGCCACUGCCGGAUACAUUUGGGCAUUUUUCUUCCUUGCUAAUGAAAACACAAAACACAAAAACACCCCCCCACCACCAAAAAAAAAAAACCCUUGGAAAAACCUAGCAAAGUAUUUCGUUACCAUCGAGAGUUGAGCGAUGGUGGCCCCUGGUGACACAGCAUGACACACAGCGCAAGACACACACACAGAGACAACAGCGGUACUGCCCACCGAGGGGGGGUCUUGAACCUUCUCUGCUUUGCCCCUUCCCAGCCUUCAGUGUCUGAACACGAAUCCUGACCGCCUCAGCGCCAGGCCUGCACAAGCGGUAUGGUCUCUUUGGGGAGCUCCAGGCUUAAGCUUCUUUGGGACCCGGCUUGUGGCUCCCCCUGACUGAGCUCACGCAGCCUCUCUUCCCAUAGCGCCCCACUCUGAGCUCACUGUGCUAUCAAAACCCGUCUUUCAAGCCGAGGGCUUGCAGGUCAACCGGACUUUCCCUCCGAGCUGUUUUUAUUUUCCUGGGAGACUCCCGGUAAAAUUACCUGAGCCUUCAUCUAGGUAAAUAAAGCUCCAUGUGGGGAAUUUGAGGUAUGUGGUGCCACAAGUUGAGGAGAUAAUUUUGCGUGGGAGAGGGGGUCCUUUCCAGCAGCCUUUCCUUCCUAAAGGUAGGAACCCUACAUUUCCCAAACCAUCUCAGGGAGGUCACUCCAUGACUGUGUCCCUCUCUGUCUAGGAUGAAAUAGGGACGAGGAUUUUAUAACUUUCCUACCCGACAUGCUCUGACUCCAGGGAGCAUGUGAUUUCCUGGCAUCAGUGGGAUAGAGGGCACCUACCUUGUUCUCUUGAACAUGCCUGGCUCUCCAGGUCCAAUGAUCUGCCUCCAGUGUGGGUGCCCCCGGGCUCGAAGCUCCACUAUUCACAAAAGCCGGACGGUGGAGUCUGACGGGAGAAGGAUGCUUGCAAUGUGAUCUGCACGGGCAACAGAAUGGUCCUGUUCCUAAAAGGAAGGGAAUUCUGACGCAUACUGAAAUAUGGAUAAAAAUAAGAGAUGUUAUGCUCAUGCAAUAAGCAUAAUGCUGGCUAUGAAUAAUUCAAUUUUUCAGGGGGAGUCAGUACUAGGAAUUGAACCCAGGCCCUGGACAGAGAAGUACAUACUUUGCCCUUUUAAAAUUUUUAUUUUGAGACAGUCUUGCUAAAUUGUUAAGUUGACCAGCGUGGGAUUCAAUUUUUGUGAUUCUCCUGCCUCAGUCUCUUGAGGUGCUGGGACCAUAGGUAUGAGUCAUCACAUCCCAUUUAUAUGGUUCUGCAUAUACGAAGUGCCCAGAGUAGGUAAAUUUUAGGAAACAAGAGAAGAUGAUGUUUAUUAAGGCUGGGAGGAGAAGUGAUAAUACACAGUUAUUGUCCAAUGGGUACAGAGUUUCAUUUUGAGAUCCUGGAAUGGUUAUGCAGGCCUAUAAUUCCAGCACUCGGGAGGCUGAGGCAGGAGGAUCCUAAGUUUGAGGCCAGGAUGGGGUACAUAAAGAUGUCUCCAGUCCUCCCCUCCAAAAACAAAAGUUUCAGUUUGGGAGAAUGAAGAGGUUCUGGAGAAAGAAACAAUGACAAUGUAUCUAAUGCCACCACUCAGUUAAACAUGGUUAAGAUGGUGACUUUUGUUAUGUACCUUUUGCUGCAACUAAAAAAGAACUGGCAUUGAACUUAAGAUGGACAUUCAGUACUGUUGAUUGGUUAAUAUAUAAACUCAGGUGCCUCCCACUCCGCUUCAUGGUCAUUGUAUUUUGUCCUCCUGUGCCUGUGAGAGGUGGUUGAUUCAUGUCACCACAACUCCUCAGCUGGCUUUUUUUUUUCCCUGCGGUACCAGGGAUUGAACUCACGACCUUGCACUUGCCAGGCAGGUGCUCGUGCCACUGAACCACUAAACCCACAGCCCUCAGCUUGCUUUGAAACAAUAGUGACUUUCACUGAGUUCUGUGGGGAAAUGCGCACAGCGAGGAGUUUGUCACAUCUUGCUCUCUUAGAUCAUGGGACAGGAGACAGCUGACAGAGGGUCCCAGGUGACAGCCCUCAUUUAAAUGGACCCAGUCUGGCCCAGUAGAGGGAAGGAACAGGCCCUAGAAUGUUACUCUCAAUUUUUCUUUCUUGCAGUUAUGCAAAAAAAGGUCUAAGUAAUGACAUCUUGUCCAACCAGCCCCUUCCCCUAGAGCACUGAGUUUAAUAAGGAAUUAAUUAAUUUCCUUUAAUAAGGAAUUUCCUUUAGGAAGGUGACUUUUAGAAAGGAAACAAGCAUGGUUUAUUCUUGCUGCUUGUCUUAGUUACUUUUCUCAUUGCUGAGGCAAAACCCCCGACCCCCACAGGUGAAGCAGGAAGGGAUUAUUUGGCUCACAGUUUGCAGAGGUUUCAGUUUGCAGUUGUCUGGCGCCAAGGCAGGGAGAGGGUUAGAGGAGAAGGAGAUCCUGGCAGGCACAAGGCAGCAAAAGCAAGCAAGCAACCCAGUGAGACAGUAGCGGCUUCUUUCUGCCCCUUUUAUAUUCUAUCUAGGCCACCCAGCUAAGGCGGUAUCAAACCAAUCAGCACACUGACGUAGUAAUGGCCCACUCUUAAUCCCAGCUUCCUUCAUGCUGGUGUUGCACCGUGAAUCAAUCAUAGCAUCACACUCUAGAUCUGGGAGCUCUGACAAAGCCCCACCAAUGACCGUGUGCGCCUGGGAGAGACCUCUACACACAGGUCACAACACUGCCUAACCGGGAGCCUUCCGUGAGUCUGACUUGGGCCCACAGAACUCUCACAAGCAUAGGCUUUGGUCUUUCUCCGGGCUAUGGAGGUGCUGACAGGUUUGCAGAAACCAUGGACAUCAGGGACAUCAAGGCUGGGAAGGCCACCUCUGGAAGAGCAGCAUUGUGCAACCGCAGCCUCCCAUCCCCUCUCCGCAGCCCCUCCUACUGCCCACCUCUGAAUUUGACUCCUGUAGGUGCCUGGCGUGAGAGGGAUCCUUAGUACUUGUCUCUCUGGAAUCGGCUUCAGGGUUUAUGCACACUGUCACACAAGUUAGACUUUCUCUGGUGGGCUUCCUUUCCUUUUAAAGGUUGAAGAAUAACUUAUCCCUUCAAUGUGAACAUCUAUUUGGGUUGUUUCUCAUCCAGAUUAUUUUGCAAAUUAUAGGAACAUGUCAUGAAAAAAUAGUUUAUAAUACUCCUUGUGCCUGGAGCGACUCACAGGGAAAGACAAGGGUGGGGGGUAAGGUGGGCAACGGGCGUAAGUAUCCUAAAGCACUUGAUGGGUAAUGCAGAAAAGUCUCCUAGAAAUAACCCUGUAAUUUUACUCUAAGAAAACCGAGGUGCAGGCCUUCCUUUGCGUCUCUGUGGCUCUCCCUACAGUGAAAAAAUAUUCUGAUAAAAACCAAAUGCUUUUUGGUUCACACAUGCCCUCUUGGAACCGUACAAAUACAGUAUCUGGAUUCUUAGCCAGCUGGGUGAGUUUCGGAGCACUGGAGACCAACGAGCUGGAGUUCGAGACCACCCCGAAGCUCUUCAUGGAUCUCAAACUGGGAAUUUCCCCAGUGUUCCCCUCGAAGGCAAGCGGGUGCUUCGCAGAUUUCAUGCUCCCCCCGCCAUGUGGCUCUGCCUCCCUGCUGGGCUGGGACUUCUGGUGGGGACAAGAACAGUGUCAUGGACACAGCCUGUGGCUCCCUCCUCCUGUGUCGCUUACACACACCAGGUACUUCUCCAUUGUUAAUUUUAAAGGCCAGAAGCUUAGUCUUUAUUAGCCUUUCCAAGAUGGUCUAUUUAGGACAGUUAUUGCCUAUUUUGAAAACACUCUAAGGGAUAGGUACACAUUGUGGUGUUUGACCCUAAAAAUAGGAAUUUAUUCUUACCCUCCAGCACUGCAUAUAAAGAAAAGAGACAUUAAUGUCUAAGGUCUUCCCUCCCUGUGGCUAAUGCCGAACAGCAACGUGUGUUAACCAUUUUCAGACUGUGCUUGCGGGCAGAAAACAGAGGAUUUCUUCUGUUAUUUGUGAGUGUAUACGGCAGACAGUCAGAGGGAAGGUAGUUGGUUAGAUUUUAGUGAUUUUUCCAUUUUCAGAUGUGUGGAUCCCUGUCAAAAAUGCUGGCUAGAGAUGGGAGAAGCGGAAAGCAAACCGUGGCCUGCUGGGCCUGAGUCCACGCAAACCCCUAGGCUGCCCACACUUGGCUUCAGCGUGGGGCAUCCAGACAGCCUCUCAGCUGUGGCCGUGAAAAGCCCCGGAGCCUACUAAAUACCAGCUCUUGUCCUGCCCAGAGCUGGUCUGUGCUCUGUGGGGAUGGGUGAUGCUAGUCAAGGAAAUUAUAGGCUGUCCAGCCACCAGACCUUCCAGAAAGAUUAUGGGGUGACUUACUGAUCUUUAGGUGGGUCAGGGAUUUUGAAGGAAGGUUAGAUUUAAAGCCUGUAGUUAGGUUUGGAAAGGUUGGGCUUGGAAUCUCAGAGAGAUGUAGAUACAAUGGAAAAAGCUCCAGGCAAAAAGGCACUUGUUUCUGUUCUUGUCCUGGUUCCCACACAGCCAGGCUCAUCCCCUGGGGACAUAGGUGACACAGCUGGCUUGUCAAGCCCUCCACCUUACAGAUAGGGACACUGUAACUGAAAAUGUGAAGCGAGUUCAUCCCAUUUCCCCACUGGUCAGAUCAGAACCAAGGCUACAACAUAUUCUGCUGGCAUCUGUGACUAAGCUUCCUCCCAAGGAUGCCCUAGGACCUGAUCAUUCAGUUUCAGUGACUUACCAUCAGAUUUGCUAUACCCUUGGAGGGCCUUUCUGGAGCUUCAGAGGUUCUGCUUUUAAUGUGUUUCAUGUUUAAUGAAAGGGAUUAUGCUGGGGCCAACCACAGAAAAGUAGAAGCAAGAGAAAUUUGGGAGGGUUCAAUGUGGAUAAAUGACCUUAGCUCCUGGCUGUGGGCUAAAUUAUGUCCCCUCAAAUUCAUAUAUGGAACCUCAACCACCAUGUAUUAGUCAACUUUUCCAUUACUGGGAUAAAAUAUCCACAAUUUAAAGAAGAGGUUUAAUUUGGCUCACACUUUUAGGGGGUUCAGUGCAUGGUUAGCUGGCUCCAAGGCAGAAAUGGCAUGGUGGACGGGAGCUGCUCAAUUUAUGGCACUUAGGAAUCAGAAAGAGUAGGAGGGGGGGAGGAUAAAGACAAGAAGACAUUCUUUCUGGUCACAUUCCCCAGUGGCUAGUCCCUGCCUCCACAGGCUGUGGUGGGCUGAAUCACAUCCCAGCCAUAAUCUUCCCUUCCCAUAAUGUGACCUACUUGGAGAUACAGUAAUUGAAGGUGUAAUUAGCUAAAACAAAGUCCUGUUGGAUUAGGGUGAGGCUCUAAUCCGAUGUGAUGGGCAUCCUUAUAGAGAAAAAAAUUGGACAUAGAAUAGUGUGAAUGCCACAUGAGGAUAAAGACAAAAAUUGGCAGGAUGAUUCAAUAAUCCCUGGGACCAAAGAUUGGGAGCAAAGCAACAGAAGCCAGGAGAAAAGCAUGGAUCAGAUUCUCCUUCACAGCCUCAGAAA